AUACGGAGGGUGCAAGCGUUAAUCGGAAUUACUGGGCGUAAAGCGUACGUAGGCGGUUAUUUAAGUCAGAUGUGAAAGCCCCGGGCUUAACUUGGGAACUGCAUUUGAAACUGGGUAACUAGAGUUUAGUAGAGGGAAGUGGAAUUUCAGGUGUAGCGGUGAAAUGCGUAGAGAUCUGAAGGAACACCAGUGGCGAAGGCGACUUCCUGGACUCAAACUGACGCUGAGGUACGAAAGCGUGGGUAGCAAACGGGAUUAGAUACCCCAGUAGUCC
rnacentral:rRNA from 1 species